CGCUCAUCCAGAAAGCGGUGGACUUUGCCGCUAACCGGACUCAGUUUGGGGAGAAAAUCCACACUUUUGGGGUGAUCCAGGAAAAACUCGCCCGCAUGGCGUUGCUGCACUACGUGACGGAGUCCAUGGCCUACAUGAUCAGCGCCAACAUGGACCGGGGGGCUUCGGACUUCCAGAUCGAGGC